CAGGAGCUCGUCCUCCUGUCGCCUGAGUUACACUCCGGAGGGCAGAGCUGGAAGUCGUAUCAGAAACGAAAUACAAAACGUGUUAUGGGACAUGGAGGGGAUCGUGGAGAGGGCACGGACGUGGCGCUGGGUCCUGGAUUCAGGAUGCUGGUGGCAGAUGUGGCAGGUGCAGGAUUAGCCAUUUAGUUGUGCAUUCAGAGGACCUCAGGCCACAGGUUUCUGAUCAGCCCCUGAGACCUGAUAUGGAAUGGAGCCAGAGGGCACCAUUUCCUCCAGUUAAGAUAGUUGACACCUUUGAAUUUUUCAAGCAUGCGAUGUUCUUGUCUUCAUACUUCUGUAAUUGUAUUAAUGUAUUUGACCAAAAAAAGGUGAUUUUCUUUUUAUUUCAUUUAAAGGCUGUGUGUUUGUAUACAUGUGUACUCCCAUGUUAUAUAUGAACAGUUCAUGCUUCAUCCACUUCAUACCUAUUUGAAACCUCUCUCAUUAAACUAAGUCUCAAAAUGGGGCUUUGGGCAAUUGUUUCAUGCUGAAAAAUGUAUACACAAAGAAAGGAAACGUGUCCCAUUAAUCUUGGAGAGUGUAGGGUAUAUUAUUACUAUUAAUUCCUGUAAUUAGGAGGCAAACAUAACAAAUUACUCUUAAUAAGCCUUUCAGACAGGAUUUUCUUAUAAUCUACAGGCUCAUUUGUAUCUGUUUAUUUUUUGGGGCAAAUGAAAUUAACAUUUGCUG
rnacentral:lncRNA from 7 species